CACGUAGGGUGCGAGCGUUGUCCGGAAUUAUUGGGCGUAAAGAGCUCGUAGGCGGUGUGUCGCGUCGGCCGUGAAAACCUGCAGCUUAACUGUGGGCUUGCGGUCGGUACGGGCAUCACUGGAGUUCGGCAGGGGAGACUGGAAUUCCUGGUGUAGCGGUGAAAUGCGCAGAUAUCAGGAGGAACACCGGUGGCGAAGGCGGGUCUCUGGGCAGUAACUGACGCUGAGGAGCGAAAGCGUGGGGAGCGAACAGG
rnacentral:rRNA from 1 species